rnacentral:rRNA from 1 species
UACGUAGGGGGCAAGCGUUGUCCGGAUUUAUUGGGCGUAAAGAGCGUGUAGGCGGUUAGGUAGGUCCGUUGUGAAAACUCGAGGCUCAACCUCGAGACGCCGAUGGAAACCAUCUAACUAGAGUCCGGAAGAGGAGAGUGGAAUUCCUGGUGUAGCGGUGAAAUGCGCAGAUAUCAGGAAGAACACCCGUGGCUAAGGCAGCUCUCUGGGUCCCUACCGACGCUGGGGUGCGAAAGCAUGGGGAGCGAACAGG